CGGGUUUUGUAUUACUCUUUGCAGUGUAAAACAUGCCGCUUCAAGAUCAAGAUUUUUUUUACUGCAUGCGGGGGUUAUGAUUUGGACAAACUUCUUAUUUUACAAAUGUAUCCGCCACAUGUUGUUUCUCUGGUGAGCGAAACAGUGAGAAUGAGAGCAAAUGAAGUUUCCCUCACGAUCGUACGGCUAGUGGCGCCUGCACAGAUUUUCGCCGAGAAAGAGGACACCGGGAUUUAUUUUUAAGUAAUUCGACUAGCGCACUCAUCCCGAUCGGUCACGAUCACCGUGUAGUCGUGUGUUGGACGCGAGGUAGCACACAUUUGUUUGAGUUUUUACCGCGAAACGUCCGAGAUCGUGUGAAACGAAAUUGAAACAAACUUCGAGAGGAAAACCGGGUACAAGCUUGGAAAACGAUUUGUUCACGCCGGAAAGGGUCGCGUCCGUGUCUGGUUGAAGUGUGCCGCAAGAUUGUCGGUGAAGUUAAUUUUUGUACAAUUUAUGAUCUCGCGCUCUCCGUGCGUAGCCGAUGCACGCAUUUGUUCGACAUUACGGAAUAUAGGUGAAUGUGAACCGAGCUGGAGAAUAAGUGACGAUUUACGAUUUCACAUUAAGAAUAAUACGGUGAAUCAGAAUGAGUAAUAUGCAACCAGAAGAGUACGAAAAUACAGGCUGGCUGUCGUACUUUAGCCGGCACAAAACGACUUAUACAGCGUCCGAUAUUCACAAGAUAAGCAACGAGCUAAACAAUGUGCGCAAAAACUUGACCGCCACACAGUACGCGUACGGUGAGCUAAGCAGUGAACUUAAGGCGCUAAAAAGCCUACAGGAACAGCAACGCUUGGUGGACGAGUACGAACAACGUGCUGCGGCCAGCGGCAAAGGAUCGAAAUCUACCGAAAAGCGAUUGAAAGAGCAGGCAGAUGAAAUCAAAAGUCUCAAGAGCGAUCUGGCCAGCUGUCGUAACGAGCUGUCCAAGCAGAUCGCGGCAAUGAAGGUAGCGUUCAGUGAGCAAAGCAAGAAAAAGGGCCUGGCCGGGAGUGGCAAAUUUUCUGCCGGAAGCACCGGCAAUAAUGCGAUGACCUUGAGCCUGGAAAGCCGCAUCAUCGCGGCCGAGGUGCAGCUUGAACAGCUGAGUAACGGACGGACGACGGAACGGCUGAGUGCCUUGGAGCAGAAACUAGGUCAGCAGGAAGAGAGAAGCGGUGCCGGUGACUACGAAGCACGGUUGAACGCUCUUGAGCGUGACUUUACGCAGAAAUUGCAGGACUUAACUGAUCUCGUGGUGGAACUGCAGCGGAAGCUAGCCAAGAGCGAAGCCAAACAGGUGGAAAUGGUGCAACGGUUGUCUGCGGCCCAAACUACACUGUAUGAACAGCUGGAACAUCGAUACGACGAACAAUGUGGGAAGCUGCGAGAACUCCAAGUUCGUGUGAGCCAUCUUGGACAAAAUGAUGAUAUUGAUUCAACAUUUGUUUGAGUGAGAGAAAAAACGAAAUGUCUUACUAAUUACAACUUCGUUGGCCAUCUUCUUAUCGAAUAUGCCUCUAUCGUUGACUAGUGACUUGGAAAGCUUUGCUGCCAACGAAGCGCUUGCCCAUCAUCAUCAUCAUCACGACGAGCUA